AUGCCUUAAAACUGAUGAGUAAGGAAAAUAACGACGGCGGGGUGACGCCCGUGUUCUCGCAGACUCUCGCGAGGAGAAUUUUUGUAAGGGCACAGGUCCGUCUGUGAGGUGACUCACCCUACUUAGUGAGAUCUCAGCAGAGCCAGGGUCGUGCCCU